UGAACCCUAAACUUAUUUAUGAAUCAGCUUAAACCUAAAUAUACAAACGUUUUGACAAAUGUUGAAAUUUGAGAUAAUUUAACACUGUCCCUUAUAGUACAUAUCUAACUUCCCCUAAUAAGGACCAAAUCAACUACUAGGGAUAUUAAGCAUUUUAAAACUGUCAAACAGUACUUGGAGCAAAUAAACUAAUCCGAUUGUUCAUAUAGAUAACAAAGCUAUAGAAUAGAAUACUAGAUUUAGGAUACCUAAACAAACAAAGACAUAAAUAUUAAACUAUAUAACUUGCAAACAACAUACAUAAGGAAAACUUGAAUUUAACACUUGAACAACUAACGUCUUAUUACAUUAAAGACUGAACACAUGCUUAGAGCUUCAGUUUGUCACUCAAAAGUUCAUAGAGGUACCUGGAUGUCAAGAACAAAUACAAGAAUGAAGUAAGGAUUUCAGCAAGCAAUAAGCGAGGACAAUAGCACAUCACAGCAGUACACAGCUUUAGAUUAAUCCAUGCCCGAAUCAGAAAACCAGAAAUCCCCUAAAAGGUUUCUAAAUUUUUCCUAAAGAAAAUCAGAAGAAAAUCGAACCAGCUAUCAAUGAAACAGUGUUGAACCUUUUUUUAAGUUCUUUUGGGUUUUAAAAAUAUAUCCUAAUGAAAGAGUAACUUUUCUUUAUAUAGGGCGUACAGAAAAAGUAUCCAAAGAAUAUUCUGAUCUAAAUUGUUUUGAUAGUACAUCAUAUUGACAGAGAAUAAUGUACAUGUGUCCAACUUUUCAGCAUCUUUUACACAAAUUCGACAACUGGUACUCUUCUAGAACUUUCUCAUAUGUCUGGGCCAAUUAUCAUGGCCAAAUGGCCCAAGACAGGGCCAAAACAGGCCCAACUCCAAUUAACAAUUCAGGCCUUCACUGGCCUAACCAGAAUCAAAUAUCAAAGUGAAAAAACUAUCAUCAAAUUACCCCAUUGAACAUUCUGAAAUUAAUCAGUACCCAAUCACUAACUAAACUCACUUAAAAGGCAAAUAAUCCUGAGAGAUAUGUAAAUAAGUUAAUAACUAGUUAAUUUAACUUGAUUAACCUAAAAACUAUGCAAAUGACCAAUUGGAAUUAAUUGAACUUAAACAAACUAAAAACUAGUUCAAACCAUUGAAUAAUAAGAACUAAUUCAAAACAAGAUAAUAAAACUAAUUUACAUAACUAAAUAAUCCAAACUAAUUCAAACAAGUAAAAUACCCGAAUUAAUUUAAACGAGUAGAUAAGAAAACUAAUUUAAAUAACUAAAUACUCAAACAAAUUCAAAUAAGUAGAUAAUCACAAUUAAUUCAAACAAGUAAUAGAAAAAUCCGAAAACAGAAACUAAACAAAAAAAAGAAAAGAAAAGAAAGAGGAAAGCUACUGGUUUUUAACUGAAAUGAAUUAAGGACUGAAGCAACUCAACGAAUGAUGAGGGUGUUGAACUUUGAUGGGUAUCAGUGACUUUGAUCAGAAGCUGGCGACUCUCAAAACAAACCAAAACUAACGCUAAUCAAUUGUUCUUAUCAAGAGCAAUUGCUUAAUGUAAAUCUCGAGUCAAAUCGCUCUGUGGAAGCAUAGAAAUUGGAGUUAGGAACAGAUUAGGUUUUUUUUUUGAAUUUUAGAUUUGAAAUUAAGAAAAAUGGAUGGGAAUUCAAAGAAAACUAAUGUUAGAGUUGUGCUUUGGGGGGGGGG
rnacentral:lncRNA from 1 species